AGAAAAUGUCACGUCACUGUCAUCAAAUAAGAGUUACGACGACAUAUUUUGUACAAAAAAUUGUUGUAUUUUUGCAACGUGGUCGUGACGUGGACAAUAGAAUUAUAUGUCAUGACGUGGCAGUGGUUAUAGAGCGUAGUAGGGACCAGUCAAGGAGUGCAAACCCCCCGGAAACCGAGACAAAGUCCGCCCCAGCAAGUCGCGUAGACCCGUAGAUCGCGCAUUGGGGGCGGUAAAUCGUUCCAGCACCGGGAGGCCGCAAACCUGAACGAUCCACGAAAGGCAGCAGUUCUGUGCGCCGGCGUCUCGAAAACACUAGUACAAGCACGCCUGGGGUACCCUCCAUGCACCUUAGUCCACGCCAAUUUGCCAAAUAGAUAUUGCGGUGUGCCAGUGCUCAGUGUGACAUGAGCUCGCGAGGACAAACCAAAGCAAUACCGUGCACAAGCAUUUUGCACUCGCUGUAUGAGUUUUGAAGUUCUAACAAGCAAGCAUGGACCAUAGACGGUAUCACAAUA